UGCAUCGAUAUUUUACAAUAAUCGAUGUAAGACUUGCAUCUCAGCAGUUGGAAAGUCAUAAUAAAAGUGUGUGUUUAAUGUACCUUUACUUUGUAAAUAAUGCCCCUAAAAGAUGUGAUGGUUUUGGAAUUUGUUGGUCUUGCACCAGGUCCUUUUUGCGGAAAAAUUCUGGCAGACUUUGGCGCUUCUGUGUUGAGAAUUGAUAAGGUUUGGGAAAAUAACUUGGAUGUAAUGACACAUGGAAAGACGACUCUAAAUAUUAAUUUGAAAACAUCCGAAGGGCGUAAACUAGCACGAAAACUUGUCCAAGUUCAUGAUGUAUUGAUUGACCCAUUUAGACCUGGUGUAUUGGAGAGUGUUGGCCUUGGUCCCCAUGUUUUGUGCAAGAAAAAUCCUAGGUUAAUAUACGCACGUUUAACAGGUUUUGGCCAAUAUGGCCCCUUAGCAAAACGAGCAGGGCAUGACAUUAACUACCUUGCGAUUUCUGGUGUUUUAUCUAUGUUGCGUUCUCAUAAUAAUAGACCAACUCCACCUUUAAAUAUCUUGGCAGAUUUUGCUGGUGGAGGUUUACUAUGUGCAAUGGGAAUUUGUUUAGCGCUUUUAGAACGCCAUCGGUCUGGUUGCGGACAAGUAAUUGAUGCUUCAAUGUGUGAAGGAGUGGCUUAUUUAUCCUCUUGGUUAUUUUUGUCCCGUUCCCUUCCCAUAUGGAAGAGUCAAGCAGGUCAAAGCAUGUUGGAUGGAGGAGCUUAUUUUUAUGAUCUAUACGAAACGAAGGAUGGGAAAUAUAUGACAGUAGGAGCUUUGGAACCAAAGUUCUUCCAAUUUUUUAAAAGUAAUUUACAGUUGCCUGAACUCUGUCAAUUUCCUGAAAAUCGCUAUGAAAAAAAUAUUACUAUAGAUUUAGUAAAACAAGCAUUUUUAAAGAAAACGCAAGCUGAGUGGUCGGAUAUAUUUGAAAAUAACGAUGCUUGUGUUUAUCCAGUUGUGGAAUGGGAAGAUGUAGCUCAGCACGGACAUAAUAAAUUUCGUACAAGCUUUGAGCGAUUGAAUAAUAUGUGGGUUCCUGUACCGUCCCCCAUACUGAGUAGAACCCCUGGAAGCAUUAAAAGUAUGACUACUCAUUUAACAAAUGAAAAUGUUUUACAAAAUAUGGACUUGCGCAAAGAGAAUAUAAAAAACGGCAAAUCAGUGUUUCCAACCAAAAAAUCAAAAAUAUAAGUAAUAUGUAUGUCGAAAUUAUGUCAAUUGACAAUUAAAAUAGCGUGAUCAAAAGUGUUUUAUAAAAUCAAAAGUAAAAGCAAAAUAUAUAAGAUUCCGUGGUACAGAAUUAAUUAUUGUUAAUCAGAAUUAAAAUGCAUGGAUUCUUUGGAUCCAUAGCUUUAAUAUACACUGUGCAUCGCCAACUUAAAACACCUUUAUCGGUUUAAAAGAAUUUCUUCUGGGAUUUUUGUUAUCAACUUGCUUUGUUUUGUGAUUUUCAAUAUCCUUCCAGGAACAAUCACUGAUAAAAAAGAAAUGCGAUAAAAAUGUUCCAUUACAUGGUUUUUACUAGUAUAUUCUUUUUAAUCAUUAAUUAUGCUUUAUUUUUGCAUUACCUGGUUGACACGUGCAAUUUGAUUGGAUUUAUCUUCGGAGACUGAAUACUUAUUAACCAAAUAUUAUGAUAUUGCUAAGUGCUCUAUUUUUUAGUAUGGAAAGCAAUAAUCGAAGCUUAUAAAUAAAAAGUUACAGCUUCUAAUAAUUGAAACUGGCAGAAGUCGAAGAGUUAUAUGCAAUUUCUUUUUUAAUAAGACACGAGUACGAGCGAAAUAAUGAAAGCGGGUUUCAAUAAGCUUAUUGCUAUAUUGCUAUAUAUAUAUAGCUAUAUUGUCUAUUUAGGAGCAAUAUCAGUUGGAACGGCUUCACAGGUGCGAACGGUAUGACUUUGCCAUCUUCUAUAUGRUACGUGUGAGCUGCAAUUUUUCAAAAGUAGUAAGAAUGCACUAGUACUGGAAACUACUUCUUUCCAUUUUAAACUUUCCGAACUUUGAUAGAGUGCCCGCGUGUUUAAGCCUUGGAUUGAAGAAUAAAAUGAUAUUUAAUGCAGUUUCCAUCUUAAUUUACGGACAUAAAUGUAUUAGAAAUAUGUGGCGAUGGUUGAAUUAGUUGAUCGUAUGGUUGAUCAUCAAUUUUCAAAAAU